GCAUUUUUCACAUUGCUGGGUGGAUUUUGAAGAGCUGAGCCAGGCAGAAAGGCCCAGACGUCUGCCCUGAAGGCGGCAGAUAACGACAAGUCUGCAAAGGGAGUGUGUGCUCUUUCUGUACGAAGUCUUUCCAGACACCCACCCAGACCCAGGCAAGUGGGAUCUUAGCGCCCCGACCAGGGAUCGAACCUGCGCCCCCUUCAUUGGAAGGCGAAGUCUUACCCACUGGACCACCAGGGAAGUCCUCUAGACCAUGUUCUUUGACAUAAUUCUACUGUGGCCUUAGGUGUUAAUUCCAAGCUCGCUUCCUAGUAAUUCACCAGCAUGCUAUUCUCCAUCUCAGGAUCCACUUCCAAGGG